rnacentral:rRNA from 1 species
CAGGUCUUGACAUCCUCUGACCCUCCUAGAGAUAGGACGUUCCCCUUCGGGGGACAGAGUGACAGGUGGUGCAUGGUUGUCGUCAGCUCGUGUCGUGAGAUGUUGGGUUAAGUCCCGCAACGAGCGCAACCCUUGAUCUUAGUUGCCAGCAUUCAGUUGGGCACUCUAAGGUGACUGCCGGUGACAAACCGGAGGAAGGUGGGGAUGACGUCAAAUCAUCAUGCCCCUUAUGACCUGGGCUACACACGUGCUACAAUGGGUGGUACAAAGGGCAGCCGAGCCGCGAGGCUUUAGCUAAUCCCAUAAAACCACUCUCAGUUCGGAUUGCAGGCUGCAACUCGCCUGCAUGAAGCUGGAAUCGCUAGUAAUCGCGGAUCAGCAUGCCGCGGUGAAUACGUUCCCGGGCCUUGUACACACCGCCCGUCACACCACGAGAGUUUGUAACACCCGAAGUCGGUGGGGUAACCGCAAGGAACCAGCCGCCUAAGGUGGGACAGAUGAUUGGGGUG